GAUGAACGCUGGCGGCGUGCCUAAUACAUGCAAGUCGAGCGAACAGACGAGGAGCUUGCUCCUCUGACGUUAGCGGCGGACGGGUGAGUAACACGUGGAUAACCUACCUAUAAGACUGGGAUAACUUCGGGAAACCGGAGCUAAUACCGGAUAAUAUAUUGAACCGCAUGGUUCAAUAGUGAAAGACGGUUUUGCUGUCACUUAUAGAUGGAUCCGCGCCGCAUUAGCUAGUUGGUAAGGUAACGGCUUACCAAGGCAACGAUGCGUAGCCGACCUGAGAGGGUGCGCGGCAAACAUGGAAAUGAGACCCGGUCCAGACCACUACGGGAGGCAGCAGUAGGGAAUCUGCCGCAAUGGGCGAAGGCCUGACGUAGAAAAGACGCGUGAGUGAUAAAGGUCUUCGGUCGUAAAACUCUGUUAUUAGAGAAGAACAAAUGUGUAAGUAACUAUGCACGUCUUGACGGUACCUAAUCAGAAAGGCACGGCUAACUACGUG
rnacentral:rRNA from 1 species